rnacentral:rRNA from 1 species
GGUUACCUACGGGGCGCAGCAGUAGGGAAUCUUCCACAAUGGACGAAAGUCUGAUGGAGCAACGCCGCGUGAGUGAAGAAGGGUUUCGGCUCGUAAAACUCUGUUGGUAGUGAAGAAAGAUGGAGGUAGUAACUGGCCUUUAUUUGACGGUAAUUACUUAGAAAGUCACGGCUAACUACGUGCCAGCAGCCGCGGUAAUACGUAGGUGGCAAGCGUUGUCCGGAUUUAUUGGGCGUAAA